GAGGAGUGGACUGAAUGGAUCGUUGCAGA
rnacentral:piRNA from 1 species